UGGAAGUGAUGAAAAAAGGCCAGUCUUACAGCUGCUUUGGUUCAAUUCAAUUGGUAGUAGAAUGAUGUGAAUUAUAAUGAGGUGUGUUCUUAGCCCG
rnacentral:snoRNA from 1 species